rnacentral:lncRNA from 1 species
UGAUCCUAGAACUACCCGGACAGAAUAGGAAUAGUAGCUAUGUACGAACUCUUACCACCUCAUAUGUACGUAGCCCCCAUAAUUAAUCAUAUAUUAAUUAAGUUCACUUACGGGGACAUCCUCCCCUACAAGGUUAUAAAAGAGAAUUGCCUCGUUUGGAGCCUACUUCCAUCUUAAGAAUGCGUCCAAACUUUUAAAUCGGAG